UUGAGACAGGUGGUGCAUGGUUGUCGUCAGCUCGUGUCGUGAGAUGUUGGGUUAAGUCCCGCAACGAGCGCAACCCUUGUGAUUAGUUGCUACGCAAGAGCACUCUAAUCAGACUGCCGUUGACAAAACGGAGGAAGGUGGGGACGACGUCAAAUCAUCAUGCCCUUUAUGACCUGGGCUACACACGUACUACAAUGGCUGUUAACAGAGGGAAGCAAGACCGCGAGGUGGAGCAAAACCCUAAAAACAGUCUCAGUUCGGAUCGCAGGCUGCAACCCGCCUGCGUGAAGUUGGAAUUGCUAGUAAUCGCGGAUCAUCAUGCCGCGGUGAAUACGUUCCCGGGCCU
rnacentral:rRNA from 1 species